ACGCUAGCUACAGGCUUAACACAUGCAAGUCGUGGGGCAGCGGAUGCUUAGCUUGCUAAGUAUGCCGGCGACCGGCGCACGGGUGAGUAACGCGUACCGAACCUGCCCAUCACACAGGGAUAGGCUUGCGAAAGCAAGAUUAAUACCUGAUGGUCUCAGUUGUAUGCAUGUAUGAUUGAGUAAAGCCUUCGGGCGGUGAUGGAUGGCGGUGCGUCCCAUUAGGAAGUUGGCGGGGUAACGGCCCACCAAUCCUUCGAUGGGUAGGGGUUCUGAGAGGAAGGUCCCCCACAUUGGAACUGAGAUACGGUCCAAACUCCUACGGGAGGCAGCAGUGAGGAAUAUUGGUCAAUGGGCGAGAGCCUGAACCAGCCAAGUAGCGUGCGGGAUGAAGGCCCUUGUGGUCGUAAACCGCUUUUAUCAGUGAAUAAAGUGCAUCACGUGUGGUGUCAUUGCAGGUAGCUGAAGGAAAAGGACCGGCUAAUUCCGUGCCAGCAGCCGCGGUAAUACGGAAGGUCCGGGCGUUAUCCGGAACUAUUGGGUUUAAAGGGAGCGCAGGCGGGAGUAUAAGUCAGCUGUUAAAUAUCAGAGCCCAACUCUGUUAUGCAGUUGAAACUAUAUUUCUUGAGUACGCACAGGGAUGGCGGAAUUCAGGGUGUAGCGGUGAAAUGCUUAGAUAUCCUGAAGAACUCCGAUCGCGAAGGCAGCCAUCCGGAGCGUAACUGACGCUGAGGCUCGAAGGUGCGGGUAUCGAACAGGAUUAGAUACCCUGGUAGUCCGCACGGUAAACGAUGAAUACUCGCAGUUCGGUCAUUAUGAUUGAGUUGUCCAGCGAAAGCGUUAAGUAUUCCACCUGGGGAGUACGCCGGCAACGGUGAAACUCAAAGGAAUAGACGGGGGCCCGC
rnacentral:rRNA from 1 species